GACGAACGCUGGCGGCGUGCCUAAUACAUGCAAGUCGAACGCUGAAGGAGGAGCUUGCUUCUCUGGAUGAGUUGCGAACGGGUGAGUAACGCGUAGGUAACCUGCCUGGUAGCGGGGGAUAACUAUUGGAAACGAUAGCUAAUACCGCAUAAGAGUAGAUGUUGCAUGACAUUUGCUUAAAAGGUGCAAUUGCAUCACUACCAGAUGGACCUGCGUUGUAUUAGCUAGUUGGUGGGGUAACGGCUCACCAAGGCGACGAUACAUAGCCGACCUGAGAGGGUGAUCGGCCACACUGGGACUGAGACACGGCCCAGACUCCUACGGGAGGCAGCAGUAGGGAAUCUUCGGCAAUGGACGGAAGUCUGACCGAGAAACGCCGCGUGAGUGAAGAAGGUUUUCGGAUCGUAAAGCUCUGUUGUAAGAGAAGAACGAGUGUGAGAGUGGAAAGUUCACACUGUGACGGUAUCUUACCAGAAAGGGACGGCUAACUACGUG
rnacentral:rRNA from 1 species